rnacentral:misc_RNA from 1 species
UUUUGACGGAUAAUCACUCAUUUUGCGAAGCAAAUUGCUCAUUACGCUGCUGUUCUCCAAAGUUGCAAUUAAGGGCUUGUCGAGAGACUUGAGGGAACUUUUCCCCUUCCUAAUCUGAAAGAGCUAUGGUAUUCUAUCUUUGUUUUCAUGGAAUUGCAGGGGUCUUGGGGUGCGAAGACGAAGUCCCACCUUAGGAGUCUCAUAACCAAGCACAAGUUGAUAGUGGCUAUUCAGGAAACUAAAGCUGAUACGGUGUCCUUCUCUGUGAUUCGAAGGGUUUGGGGAAUAGGUAAUUUGGUUUCGUCCGUUGCCAAGGAUGAAGGUCUUUCUGGUGGGUAGCUGUGUCUAUAGAAGGUGUGUUAUUAAUGGUUAUAUGGAACAAGGACCCAAUCCUAGUAAAGAGUAGCUGUGUCUAUAGAAGGUGGAUUCAUCUAAUAGGUACGGUGUUAACUUGCAAUUUAGAAUCUCAUUUUGUUUUUGUUCAUGGCCCCUGUGUUAUUAAUGAGCAGGAAAUUCUAUGAAACGAUAUCGCUUCCGAAAAUGGUUCGUGCUUAAUCAAAUUCUAAAAUAUUUCGAGAGAAAGAGUGGGCAGUGCUCCUCUGCUGGUAUGUCUAAUUCCUGCUCCUUUGUAAAUAAUUUGAAUCUUAAUGAGGUGCUAUUGAGUGGAAAGAUGUUUACAUGGCAUGAGCUCUAUUAAUGUUUACAUGGCAUGAGCUCUAUUAAUGUUUACAUGGCAUGAGCUCUAUUA